AUGAGUUCAGACAAACAUAAUCAGGCUGCUAAAGAGGAGUUUACUUUCUUCGGCAGAGGAACCAGAUUAACGGUUUUAGCUGUUCUGAGUCUCGGCUCAGAAAGUUCAAACUCGGGUCAGAACCAGGCUCAGUUUGGUCCAAGAACCAAACUGUGUUCUUGGUCAAGUGUGACAGACAGAGAGAGGCAGCAGGAAGAGUUUUGUUCCAGUCUGGAGUCUCUGUGCUCCUACAACGAGGCUUACUUUGGGGCUGGAACUAAACUCACCGUUUUAGAAGGUCUGGCUCUACGCCCAGAUUAUUCCUCUGUGUCGGUUCUUAUCAGCUCUCCGUUUCUCAGUGUGAACUAUGAUCCUGCUUACUUUGGAGCUGGAACUAAACUCACCGUUUUAGAACCAGGCCGAUCCCCCACAGAACCAACUGUAGAAGUCUUUAAACCUUCAGCUAAAGAGUGCAACGACCCAAACAAGAAAAGGAAGAAGACUCUGGUUUGUGUGGCCUCUGGUUUCUACCCAGAUCAUGUCAGCGUGUCCUGGACGCUUAAUGGGGUCCAGACAGGUAAAGGUGUGGCGACAGACAGCACAGCCAAGAGGGACGGGGACUCCUACAGAAUCACCAGCAGGCUGAAGGUCCAGGCUAAGGACUGGUUCAGACCUGGGAAUCGUUUCACCUGCACCGUCAGCUUCUUUAAUGGAACCAUCACCACCCCUCAUUCUGCUUCAGUUUCAUCAACUGAAACAGAUAAAGGCAUGACUCGAGAGAAAUAUCUGAGGAUCACUCAGAACGCCAAACUCUCCUAUGUGGUUCUGAUUGUGAAGAGCUGCAUCUACGGGGCCUUUGUUUGCUUUUUGGUCUGGAAGCUUCAGAGUUCAGCUGGAAAACGGAACAAGUGAGAUCCGAGCUGAAGCCUGAACAAACCAACAAGCUUUACGAGGAACAUUUUCUGGUUUCUGUAAAUAAAAUGUGUAGAAAACAGAACAUUCAGUUUGUGUUGCUGGGAAUUUAUGUUGAAAUCAGCUGAUUUGACCCUUCAGAACCUGUGAGGCUUUUAUUAUUAGAAAACAAACAGAUCUUUUUCCAUUUCUGACUGUUUCUAACUCUUCAUUUAAAGAUUUUUUACAUAUAAAAUGUUUUUGAUCUGGUGAGGUGAGCUUCUUUCUGUUCAUCACUUGUUCCAGAGCUGGUGUCAGAUAUUUUUAUCUGCUUCUUUUCUCAUAAUAAGGUGAAACAUCUCAGCUCAGGAAGAUUUCCAACGCUGGCUGAAGUGACUCAUUACAAGAUUCUUCAAUAAAACAACUUUUCUGAUGACUUUUCUUUAAUCUUUUGUUUCUUGUAUAAAACAAAUAAUAAAAGUGUGAAAACUUUA